rnacentral:lncRNA from 1 species
AGCUUCUCUGCUUUUUCCAAUCCACGUCUUGGCUACUCUUACUUAUCCCUGCCAACGCUUGACAGCGGAGCACACUACAUGACAUCCGUGUCCUUCCGCCUGAUCCCGUGGCUGGUUGGGAGUUUUGACCUCAGGCUGCAUCCAGCAUGGGUCUACAGAGCUGCUCUUUAUUGACUUUCCAUUGUGGUUUGAACCUAGAACACCCUCCAUAUGUUGAUUUAUUUGAACACCUGGUCCACAGCUGGUGGUUCUGUUUGAGAAGGUCUUAUGUCCUUGUUGGUGAAGACGAGCCAACAGGGCUUUGUGAGUUGUGGUCUGCUCUUCUGUGGUCACAACAGCCAGAGAGUCCAGUACGACAGAGCCUCCAUACAAUGCCAUCCUUGAAAUGAUGCCAUACACAAACCACAGUCCAGACACAUUUCUCCUCUCUCAAGUUGAUGGUAUCAGGUACUUAGUGUGAAGACAAGAGUGACUGAUUCUGAACAAUGGUACCAAGAGGUGAGGAUCCUUCUGUGAUAAACCUGACCCUGUAGCUCUUAGGUCUUCAGAACUGAUUUCUGGAAGGACUGUGGAAGAAUUUGAAGCUGAAGACUAGAGGAGCCCAAGAAUGUUGUAAAAGAGCCUAAUGAGCCAAUCUGGUGGAACUUGGAAGGCCAGAACACAGAUGGAAAUGUGGAUAGGAUAUUUCUUCUCUUCAGCUGAGCAGGCUGCUGAAACCUGUUCUAACGGGGCUUGGAUAGGUCUCAAAUUUGUUUUCAUCCACGUCGCUGACUUUGCCAGCAUGCAGAAUACAAGGAUGACAUUCUUCUGAAGAUUUGCAUAGAGGUUCAGGGGCUGGCGGGAGCCUAUGAGACCUGGCAGUGUGUGACAAGGCCAGACUCCCUGCCAGAAUGCCCAGAGAGGCCAGCAUGCAUACCUAAACUGCAGUGGAGACACGAAGACACCAGGAAUACGAGGCAUCUGCCGUACAGGUGAGAAGUCUGCAUGAGGGAGACCUCAUGUGUGCUAAAGACGACAAAACCUAGAAGCCUGCUGCAGCCAAGGACAUGUAUGCUGAGAACUAAGUUCAUGUCCUUUGCAAAAGCAGAGGGGCUUAUAGUGGAGUGAAAUAGCUGUGCAUCCAGAUCAAGACCUCACCAAUAUUAUCAGGUAGUGGUAAGUCUUUCCUUGAGAGACAUCACUGGUGAGACCAUUCGCCACGAGGAAACAGGCAUCCCAGAGGGUGUGGAAGUGUAAGACUGUGCAAACAGGAGAGAAACGCAGAGGCGUUUACUAAUAUCGGAAGAUCACAAACAGUGAAGAAAGACUUCAAAUACUGGGCAAAGUCUGAGUGUCAUGGAACAAGAAGUCCCAGAGCUGUUGGAUCUUCAUUCCAUUGGCUCUGAAAUACAACAUGGAUCUGCAAGCCGGACCUGUAGGAGUCACAUGUUAGCCGAGUCAAAAUCGAAGAUGAGACUGGUUUGAACAUCUGAGAAAAUGCACUUAAGUCACAAUCAACUCGCUCAUGUGAGCACCAUACAGCUUUAUUGUGGAUUAAA